rnacentral:rRNA from 1 species
GACGAACGCUGGCGGCGUGCUUAACACAUGCAAGUCGAGCGAGCGGCGGACGGGUGCGUAAUGUAUGGGGACUGCCCGAUAGAGGGGGAUAACUACUGGAAACGGUGGCUAAUACCGCAUACUAACGGAUAACCCAUAUGGGAUUAGCUAGUAGGUGGGGUAAAGGCUCACCUGGGCGAAGAGCUCUAGCUGGUCUGAGAGGAUGAACAGCCACACUGGGACUGAGACACGGCCCAUACUCCUACGGAGGCAGCAGUGGGGAAUAUUGCACAAGGGGCGCAAGCCUGAUGAAGCCAUGCCGCGUGUAUGAAGAAGGCCUUAGGGUUGUAAAGUACUUUCAGCGGGGAGGCGUUACCCGCAGAAGAAGCACCGGCUAACUCCGUGCCAGCAGCCGCGGUAAUAC